UGGGGAAUUUUGGACAAUGGGCGAAAGCCUGAUCCAGCAAUGCCGCGUGAGUGAAGAAGGCCUUCGGGUUGUAAAGCUCUUUUGUCAGGGAAGAAACGGUGAAAGCUAAUAUCUUUUGCUAAUGACGGUACCUGAAGAAUAAGCACCGGCUAACUCUGUGCCAGCAGCCGCGGUAAUACAGAGGGUGCAAGCGUUAAUCGGAAUUACUGGGCGUAAAGCGCGCGUAGGUGGUUAGUUAAGUUGGAUGUGAAAUCCCCGGGCUCAACCUGGGAACUGCGUUUGUGACUGCAUAACUAGAGUACGGUAGAGGGGGAUGGAAUUCCGCGUGUAGCAGUGAAAUGCGUAGAUAUGCGGAGGAACACCGAUGGCGAAGGCAAUCCCCUGGACCUGUACUGACGCUCAUGCACGAAAGCGUGGGGAGCAAACA
rnacentral:rRNA from 1 species